GGCAAAAUUCAUCAACCCAACAUGCAUCAGUUGACCCAGCAGCUGAGUUGUUUGUGCUUGGACCGUCAUCACGUUAACUCCUCCUCCACCAUUUCGCGCCCAGACAGGCUCCAAGCUCCUUCAGCAGCUCGCACAUGCUCGAGAGAGACUGAUCAUCUUUGAGAGGAGGGGAUUGAUGAGGAAAGUUUUCUUCUUUUAGAUGAGGCUACCAUCAACCAGUUGAUACCAAGAGCUGGACCUAGGCUGAAGUUCCUCCAAAAAUUUAGAAACUUUGUACGUAGUUGUUGGCAUUGUUAUUGUUAUUGUUGGCAUUCAGUUAUAAUAAAUUUCAAGGCAGUGCCUUGUAAAAAAUA